GCCGCCGCAAAACAAAGGUUGAGAAUCACUGGUUUAAAGAUUUAAAAUCCUAUUAUUAUUACUAUAAAUAUCCCUUUUUAGUAUAUACUACCGGGGGGAGACAUGAUCCAGGAAAUUUUUCUGCCACUUAUCCAUUUUUAGGCAGAGAAAUUACUCCGGAAAGAGCUAUUCAAAUUCAUUACAAAUAAUAAUAUAUAAACUCAAACAUAAAUAUGAUUAUGAGUUUAUUUUAUUCGAAGAAAUUGAGUAAAUUGAAUGAAUUCCUAAGAAAAAAGAGUGAAAGAGCAAGUUCUUAAUGGUGUAUUGAAAAGGAUGAGAUAUAGUUAUAAAUGACUAAAGAUCAAUGAAUACUUAAAAUACUUAAAUUCUCCUUUUAAAAAUUAACAAUUCUAAAAUUUUGUCAGGUAUGAUGCAUUUUAAAAUUAUGCAGAAUCCUUCAUGUUUCAAAAUAAAAAGGAUAAUGCACCAGACGAGACUUAGGAGGUCUGCAAAAUUGAGUUCUAUAUAGAUUUUUACUACACAAGACCACCUUAAAUGACAAAGUGAAUAGAGUUGCUGUUGUAGCAGAUAAAAAUCAAUAAAAAGAUAAAAUCAUUCAAACUGUGCCUAUUCUCGGUAGUUGUCAUGUGUUUGGAAGGCAGAGAAGCUGCAUCUAUAGGAUUGUUUUUAAUAUGUGACCUUGAACAACAAGUUUACUCUCAAUGAAAUAAUCUCCAUUUCUCAAAAUGCCACCCACAUGAUAAACUAUUGAACUAGAUACUGCCCCUUUCUAUUCUCUGAGAAACAUGUUUUUCUUUCUAAGUUUCCAGGAAAUAUUUCUAUACAUGCCUUCACAGCUUGCCACAAUGUAAUUUACUUCUCACAAAAUAAAUUGUUUCCCUUAUUUAGAAAAAGACAGGAUAUCGAAACCAUUUCAACCUUUCAGUAUUGCCUCUUCCACAGGCAAAAUGGCAUUUCCUGCCUCUUUGUUUAGCUUCAGAAAUAUUGAUAAUAUAUUUCGGGAUCUGUCUUUUUUAAAAUUUUUAACAAUAGCUGAUUCCAGACACCUGAGGAAAGGACCUCAAAAUUACCAAAGUGAAUGCAUGUUUAGCAUUCAGUAUGUCAAUUGAGCUUGUAUGGAUGUGUCUGAUAGAUGUCUUGAAACUUUUUAUUUUUCAUGUAUUAGUUGUAAAAGAUUUCAGAUCAACAGAUACUUUCUUUUGAACUGAAAUUUGCAGCUUUUAACAGAAAAAAAAAUAAAACUUCUAAUUAUAUUUUAAAUAAAUUAUCAAAUCUUAGAAUAAACAUUAUCAAAUCUUAGCCAUGUAAUAUUGGAUACAAUGCAACAUUUAGGGCUGUCGUGCCGUUGAGUUUAGUUUAGCAACAUUUAGCAUACAAUACGUACCGUUAUUGAAAUUUUAAAGAUAUGAAAUGCUCGAGAAUUUUGUUUUGAAUUUCUUUUAUUUUUCAAUAUUAUUUUAUUAUUUCUUAAUGUGACAUAAAAUUUUUAGACAAAUAGGAGCGUGAAUUUUUGUUAUGAAAGAUGGCAAGUUCAUUUUCUAUUAGAGAAAAAAUAAAGACAAAAUUGAUUAGAAUUAUGUACACAGGAACUGUCAUAUGCACGUAAUCUCAUAAGUAUUAGCUACAUAGCUUUGUUCUUGUCACCAGUAUUUUUUAUUGAAAAAAGGAAAAAAACUGAAUAUUUUAAUAAUUAAGUGCAAGAAUGAAAAAUAAAUAAUGUAGUUAAAUGAAUGAUAAGUUCUACAUACAAAAUAUUACUGCAGAAAAACCCGUUUAUUAAAAGGGAUUAAAUAAUUAGCAUUAAACUUAUUCAAUUUUGUCUAAGAAACAAUACUUCAAAAUUAAUUUUAUGUAAUAAAAAUAUUAAUGAUUUAAAUAUAAUUUUUUAUCUCUUAUGAUAUUUGUUUUCAAUUUUAUAAGAGUGUAGUUUAUGCGAUCUUAAAGGAGAUAACCAAGUAAAAUAGUUAAACCAAAUCUGAAUAAUAAAAAUUUGCAUUUGGUAUCACUUUUUAAACCGAUAAAUGAAAUAAACUUUCAAAAUAUAAAAAAAAUAUAUGCCGUUAACUGUUUUAUUCACAUCUCAUUUCAAACAGUUUUGAAAGCUUCUUUUUUUAUCAACAUCUAAUAGGAUGUUGAUAACUUUAAGACAAGAAUAAAACUUGAAACAUUUAUCGAAGUCAUGUGUUUCUUUUGAAGCAGUCUAUUUAUAAUCCUUCAAGAAUCAAGAACAUCAAAAUACAUGUUUUAAAAAAAUAAAAAUUUCAAAUAAAAUGUAAAAUGUUUGCUUCUUUUUUAGAGAAUUAUCAAUAUACUUAGAAAGAAAUUAUCUAUAAAUGUUUCUUUUGUAGAAGUUUAUUUAUAAUCCUUCACGAAUUAAGAUCACUAAUAUACACCCUGUUUUAAAAUAAUAAAAAUUUUAAAUUAUUUAUAAAAAAAACUUGCUUGUUUUUCAGAGAAAUUGUUAAUAUAUUUAGAAAUUAUGUCUACAUUGGAAAAAAAAGUAAGCCAAAAAUAAUUACUGGUCUACAGCCCUUCAGGAAACAUGAGGUACAAAUUGCAACAAAAUAUUUCCUAUUCAUAAAUGGUUAAAGUAGUUACUGACUAAGUGGGGGAAUGAAUUUCGGUAAGAGGAGAAUCUUUGUUGCCGUAGCCAAAAGGUUAACCUAUUAAGAAAGGAGAAUAAGAAACACCACAAAUAAAAUAAAAAAUUUCAAAGCACAGAGUCACAUUCUGGAAUGUUAUAAGACAGAUUUUGUGAAUUUUAAAACUUUUUCUAAAACUGGAAAUGAUUAAAAAACUGUUAAUCUGAGGCAUUUCUUUUUAAUCCUUUUCUCAAAAUACAGUAAACAUUACUAGGUUCAUUUAAGUGAAGAAAAGUAUGAAAUAAAUUUAUUUUCAAAUAUUAUAAAACAUUUAUAAUAUUUCUAUAAUUAAAAAAUAAUAAAAUGUGCAUUUUAGCAAAAAGCGAUUAUCAAAUGGCGAUUACCAAACAUUUUUUUUACCCCUUUUUGUUGUAUUUAGUCACCCUUUGGCUAGUUGCGACUACUCAUUUUGCCUUAUAGAAAUAUUAAACAUUUUUAAACUGAAUUAAAUUAAUUUCUUUAAAAUAAUUUUUGAUCUUUUUUAGGGAGUUAAUACAACAUAGUAGCCAUACUAUCUCUCUAUACAAAUAAAGUAAAACGCAUCACCUUCUAAAGGCCCUUUAAUCAUCUGCCAGAGCCUCAACACU